UAGAGUUUGAUCCUGGCUCAGAUUGAACGCUGGCGGCAGGCCUAACACAUGCAAGUCGAGCGGUAACACAGAGGAGCUUGCUCCUUGGGUGACGAGCGGCGGACGGGUGAGUAAUGCCUGGGGAUCUGCCCGAUAGAGGGGGAUAACUACGGGAAACUGUAGCUAAUACCGCAUAACGUCUACGGACCAAAGUGGGGGCUCUUCGGACCUCAUGCUAUCGGAUGAACCCAGGUGGGAUUAGCUAGUUGGUGAGGUAAUGGCUCACCAAGGCGACGAUCUCUAACUGGUUUGAGAGAAUGACCAGUCACACUGGAACUGAGACACGGUCCAGACUCCUACGGGAGGCAGCAGUGGGGAAUAUUGCACAAUGGGCGCAAGCCUGAUGCAGCCAUGCCGCGUGUGUGAAGAAGGCCUUCGGGUUGUAAAAGCACUUUCAGCGGGGAGGAAGGGUCUUUAGUUAAUACAUAGUGAGCAUUGACGUUCCUCGCAGAAGAAGCACCGGUUAAUUCCGUGCCAGCAGCCGCGGUAAUACGGAGGGUGCAAGCGUUAUAUCGGAAUUAUUGGGUGUAAAGCGCACGCAGGCGGUUUGUUAAUUCAGAUGUGAAAUCCCCGGGUCUCAACUUGGGAAAUCCAUUUGAAACUGGCAAGUUAGAGUCUAGUAGAGGGGGGUAGAAUUCCAGGUGUAGCGGUGAAAUGCGUAGAGAUGUGGAGGAAUACCGGUGGGGAAGGCGGCCCCUUGGACA
rnacentral:rRNA from 1 species